UCUUAGCCCGUAGCCUAAUAAACUUCAUGGUUUCCUGUGUAGUGUAGUAAGUUCUAUGGAUGGUCUUAAACUGCAGUAAUUGAUGUCUGAGAUGAUAUGAAAAUGACUGGGCAUUCAAGCAUAUCUGUAUCCAUUCAUCAUUCCCAAUAGCUUCUACCAGGUCUUCCUCCCAUUUGUUUUACAAAAAUAAUUACCCUGGUGUACAUAUUAUACAUGAUAUUAUCCAAGAAUAGAAUCAAUGGUUCACCCGGUAUACCCUGAUGAGGACAGCUUGUCUGAGCUCCUAGAGUGUGCAGCUCUCCUUUAUUUUUUAAAGUGUUCCACUCCUCUAGCCAGCACCUCACCUGAAUAGGUGUGCGUUUCUGUCGCCUCAAUAAUUGAAAUUACCCUUAUUCCAGACUAUAGCUUUAAGGACCAACUUUGGGAAACUCUGAGUUACACUACUACUAGCUCAGCACUGUGAAUAAACACUAGUUAGAUUUUUUAUGAUAAGUUAAACAGCUGUUACCUUGCCAACUAAAGAGUAGCCAGUUUCUGCUCUGCUUGCUUUUACAACUCGGAGAAAGAAUGGUGUCAGGUUCCCUCCAGAUGUGACGCUUGGCAUUCAGGUCAAAGGUUAAUCAAAACAGAGAAUCUUGUUUUUCAUGGUGCAUGCAGGGUGUCAUAUGCCUUUUACUAAGGAGUGACUUCCGUCUUCCCACUCUACCAUAAAUGCCUAAUUGGAGUGCUGCAGAGAUGGUUGUCCUUCUGAAAGGUUCUCCUUCUGGAUGGUUGUCCUUCUGGAAGGAACUGUAGAGCUAUGUCAGUGACCAUCAGGUUCUUGGCCACCGCCCUGACUAAGGCCCUUCUCCCCCGAUGGUUCAGUUUGGCCGGGCAGCCAGCUCUAGGAAGAGUCCUGAUGGUUCCAAAUAUCUUCCAUUUAAGAAUGAUGGAAGUCACUGUGUUCUUGGGGACUUUUAAUGCUGCAGACAUAUUUUGGUGUCCUUCCCCAGAUCUGAACCUCGACGUCAUGGCUUGGUUUUUGCUCUGAUGUGCACUGUCAAUUUGGGACCUUUUAAUAGACAGGUGUGUGCUUUUCCAAAUCAUGUCCAAUCAAUUGAAUUUACAACAGAUGGACUCCAAGUUGUAGAAACCUCUCAAGGAGGAUCAAUGGAAACAGGAUGCACCUGAGCUCAAUUUUGAGUCUCAUAGCAAAGGGGCUGUAAACUUAAUGUAAAUAAGGUAUUUUUAAUAAAUGUACAAAUAUUUCUAAAGACCUGUUUCACUUUGUCAUUAUGGGAUAUUGUGUGUAGAUUGCUGAGGAAUUACUUUUAUUUAAUCAAUUUUUGAAUAAGGCUGUAACGUAACAAAAUGUGGAAUAAGUCGAGGGGUUUGAAUACUUUCAGAAGGCCCUGUACGUAAUAGUCAUAUCCUAAAGAACUGAGGAUUCCCUAACAUUCUGGAAUAUUCAUUGAAAGGAUGUGCCGUCCAUCAGGUCAAACGGUGCCGUCCAUCAGGUCAAACGGUGCCGUCCAUCAGGUCAAACGGUGCCGUCCAUCAGGUCAAACGGUGCCGUCCAUCAGGUCAAACGGUGCCGUCCAUCAGGUCAAACGGUGCCGUCCAUCAGGUCAAACGGUGCCGUCCAUCAGGUCAAACGGUGCCGUCCAUCAGGUCAAACGGUGCCGUCCAUCAGGUCAAACGGUGCCGUCCAUCAGGUCAAACGGUGCCGUCCAUCAGGUCAAACGGUGCCGUCCAUCAGGUCAAACGGUGCCGUCCAUCAGGUCAAACGGUGCCGUCCAUCAGGUCAAACGGUGCCGUCCAUCAGGUCAAACGGUGCCGUCCAUCAGGUCAAACGGUGCCGUCCAUCAGGUCAAACGGUGCCGUCCAUCAGGUCAAACGGUGCCGUCCAUCAGGUCAAACGGUGCCGUCCAUCAGGUCAAACGGUACCGUCCAUCAGGUCAAACGGUGCCGUCCAUCAGGUCAAACGGUGCCGUCCAUCAGGUCAAACGGUGCCGUCCAUCAGGUCAAACGGUGCCGUCCAUCAGGUCAAACGGUGCCGUCCAUCCGGUCAAACGGUGCCGUCCAUCCGGUCAAACGGUGCCGUCCAUCCGGUCAAACGGUGCCGUCCAUCAGAUCAAACGGUGCCGUCCAUCAGAUCAUGCCAGCUCAUCUGGUACUAUAAGUCUAUAAUCAGGAUGGGAACCUUUUUGAGAAGCGAAGUGGUAGCCGGAUAGAGCCACUUAAAAUAGGAAGGAAAGAAAAUCCCAAAGAAACAAACUUGUAAUUGGUAAUUUUUGUAAUGGAAAAACCUGGUCUGUAAAAAAGAUCUGAUCAUUUCUCAC